rfam:Streptomyces malaysiense strain MTSC 136 54, whole genome shotgun sequence.
CGUCGGCGACCUGGGGGCAGAUGAAGUGGACAUGCGCGUCGAUGGCGCCGGCCGUGAGGAUCCGCCCGUUGCCCGCGAUGAUCUCGGUCUCGGGGCCGAUCACCAGGUCGGGGUGGACGCCGUCCAUGGUGUCGGGGUUGCCGGCCUUGCCGAGAGCGGUGAUACGGCCGUCGCGGAUGCCGAUGUCGGCCUUCACGAUGCCCCAGUGGUCCACGACGACGGCCCCGGUGAUCACGGUGUCGGGGGUGCCUUCGGCGCGGGUGGCGCGGGACUGGCCCAUGGACUCGCGGAUG